UGGCUGCCCGCUCAGGUGGAGGUAGACACUGAGGUGGUGUGGGUGCAACGGUGCUGUGCAGCCUGGGAUCUGCAGCAGCUGCAACGAUGUGUGAGUCAGCUGCAAUGCUGCUUGCUGCUGGUAUAGUGGCUCAAACCUUCCAUUACAGUCGACACAAGGAAGAGCAGAUGCUGGUUUACAAAGAAGACAGAGUGCUGGAGUAACUCAGCGGGUCAGGCAGCAUCCCUGGAGAACAUGGAUCGAUUCGCAGCUCUAUAAUCAUCAUCAGUACACGAGAUCUUAAGAAGGGUCUCCUAUUCCUUCUCUCCAGAGAUGCUGCCUGUUCCGCUGAGUUCCUCCAGCUUUUUGUGUAUUUCAUCAGUUACACGAGAAUGGUUGUGAUUUAGUCUCGCAGAAUAAUUUGUGAAUUGCAAAUCUAUUUGCACUUAAUUAAUGGUCAGAUUGAAAUAACACCACGAUGACUAAC